rnacentral:rRNA from 1 species
UACGUAGGGGGCAAGCGUUGUCCGGAUUUAUUGGGCGUAAAGAGCGUGUAGGCGGCCAGGUAGGUCAGCUGUGAAAACUCGAGGCUCAACCUCGAGACGUCGGUUGAAACCACCUGGCUAGAGUCCGGAAGAGGAGAGUGGAAUUCCGUGGUGUAGCGGUGAAAUGCGCAGAUAUCAGGAAGAACACCCGUGGCGAAGGCGGCUCUCUGGGACGGUACUGACGCUGAGACGCGAAAGCGUGGGGAGCGAACAGG